AGGUCAGUAGCUCCAAUUGGUAGAGCGGCGGUCUCCAAAACCGCAGGUUGGGGGUUCGAGUCCCUCCUGGCCUGCCA
rnacentral:tRNA from 1 species